AUUUGUACAUGUAAAUGUGGCUUUGGGCAUGGUGUUGUUGUACAAUAGACAGAUUCAUAGGUAGCAUUGUUUUCCAAAGAUGCUGCCCCAACAACAUUGGGGGCAGUUUGCAAAAGAUCCUCUCGGGUCAUCUUUACUCCUACUGCAAAAGGAGGAACAAGAUAUCUUAGUGGCACACAAUUACACCGACUAAGGCCUUGUUUAGUUCCAAAAUUUUUGGCAAAAUGAGCACUGUAGCAAUUUCGUUUGUAUUUGACAAAUAUUGUUCAAUCAUGGACUAACUAGGCUCAAAAGAUUUGUCUCGUCAAUUCCGACUAAACUGUGCAAUUAGUUUUUAUUUUUAUCUAUAUUUAAUACUCCAUGCAUAUGUCUAAAGAUUCGAUGUGACGGGGAAUCUGAAAAAUUUUGUAAAAUUUUUGGGAACUAAACAAGGCCUAACAAAUGUUGUGGUAGGGCCUUGAGCAACAUGCUUACCUGUUAUGGUGGAGGCUGCAAUGCUGGCUGCUGUUGGUAACUUUGAUACCUUGGAUAUUGUUGUGUAGGUGUAUAUGGCAGGAUUUUGAGGGGUCAAGCAACCAUAUGGAUAGUAUCCUUGGGGAUACCCAUAAUAGCCACCACUAAAUUGGUCC
rnacentral:lncRNA from 1 species